CCUUCGAUAGCUCAGUUGGUAGAGCGGUGGACUGUAGAUUGGGAAGACAAUGCGGGAACAACGCAUUGGAGCCGAAAUAGUAAUCCAUAGGUCACUGGUUCAAAUCCGGUUCGAAGGA
rnacentral:tRNA from 1 species